GGGGUCGAAUUUAAAUGGAUAGCUUAGAUUAUGUGGUGUCAUAACCGUCGAUCAAGUAGUCCCUACAGGAUUGCCCCCCGAAGGUUGACCUAUUUGGGUGAAUGAAACCCCACUCUUCUUUGUUAAAUGUGCUAACCCUUUUCUCCCUUAAAGGGGACAAUGUAAGUUGGACAGUUUGGUUGGGGCGACCGCCUUUUAAAGAGUAACGAAGGUGUGCUUAAGGUACACAAUUAAUAACACAAGCCUGACUGCGAGGGGGACCCCCCGAGCAGACACCUAAAGUCUUCUCCCUUCCCCCCGAAGGUUAAAGACGAAUGGUGGGUUAUAGUGACCCGUUAAUUUAGAGUGGAAUAG
rnacentral:rRNA from 1 species